rnacentral:rRNA from 1 species
GACGAACGCUGGCGGCGUGCUUAACACAUGCAAGUCGAACGGAAAGGCCCAGCUUUUGUGGGGUGCUCGAGUGGCGAACGGGUGAGUAACACGUGAGUAACCUGCCCUUGACUUUGGGAUAACUUCAGGAAACUGGGGCUAAUACCGGAUAGGAGCUCCUGCUGCAUGGUGGGGGUUGGAAAGUUUCGGCGGUUGGGGAUGGACUCGCGGCUUAUCAGCUUGUUGGUGGGGUAGUGGCUUACCAAGGCUUUGACGGGUAGCCGGCCUGAGAGGGUGACCGGCGACAUUGGGACUGAGAUACGGCCCAGACGGCUACGGGAGGCAGCAGUGGAGAAUAUUGCACAAUGGGCGGAAGCCUGAUGCAGCAACGCCGCGUGCGGGAUGACGGCCUUCGGGUGGUAAACCGCUUUCGCCUGUGACGAAGCGUGAGUGACGGUAAUGGGUAAAGAAGCACCGGCUAACUACGUG